UACAGAGGUCCCGAGCGUUGUUCGGAUUCACUGGGCGUAAAGGGUGCGUAGGUGGCAUAGAAAGUUUGAUGUGAAAGCUCAGGGCUUAACCCUGAAAUGGCAUUGAAUACUGCUGUGCUGGAGGUUUGGAAGGGGGACUGGAAUUCUUGGUGUAGCAGUGAAAUGCGUAGAUAUCAAGUGGAACACCAGUGGCGAAGGCGAGUCCCUGGACAACUCCUGACACUGAGGCACGAAAGCUAGGGGAGCAAACAGG
rnacentral:rRNA from 1 species